UGAACAGCUUGUGACAUACUUUUUUAAUGCAAAUUAGCUUGAAGACAUGAACAUUGUGGCUUGUUGGGAAGCAUCCAGUUAGUUCUGAUGAUGAACACAGAUUUGUUUUGCAGUACAAAAAUAUAGACAUAUUUAAGAACACAAAGGUAGCUGACAUAAAACAAAUACAUGGUAAAGUCAAAUGUAAUUUGCUGUUAGAUGAUGUUCAAGAAGUGAAAUGGGUGAGCAAUAUCCCAUUAAACGCGUGACUUGGCAGUAAUGAGAUGGGAAAUGUCAAGACAUCUGUAAAGAUUGUGGCUCAUGGGGAUGGGUCAGUUUACACUUUGUUUGUAAUGGCUUCAAGUUAUCAAAUUACCCUCAGCCAGUCGGACUCUGCUUUCAUAUUAUUAUAGCUUAUAUAAUGGCAAUAUAUAGCUUUGUAAAAAAUGUUUUGAUAAUAUUUUAUUGAAUAGAAUGCCUUUAUUGUCAUUGUACGUGCACAUUGAAAUUAUGGGUGUUCCAUGCCAACUGUGCAGGAAUAAAAUAUAAUUAGUAAGACAGCACCCCUUUCACACCUCUGUAUUUUAUCAUUUUUAAUGUAAAACAGUGACUAUAGCCGUUAAAAUACUGGAUUUAGUGCAGUCAGACCUUUACAACAAACCAUAUGUGGGGUUUCUGCGACAAUCACAGCAAGAACUAUUACCAAAUGUAUUAAUCACAUCGUCAUGCGUAUCUACCAUUCGGCUUUUAACUAUGGGAUAUAUCACAAUAUCUGUAAAUUUAACUGCUUUUUAUGGAAGAAUCUUUCUUUUAUUAUUAUAGACUUUAUAGAAUAUGAAAAACGUUGAUGUGCUUUGAUUUAUCUUCAGUAGGGGUAUCUCAGUAUUUUAGGGGCAUUUCCACUGUGCCAAAUUGGUGCAAAGAAAAUCUCCCCUGUGCUAUUACAUAUAAACAACCAGCCUGAACUGUUGAUAAAAGAUGGGAUAGAUCUCUGCUUUCAUGCUGUUUUUGCCAAAUUCUGACCCUAGUGUCUGAAUGUCACAACAGAAGUGGAGAUUCCUCAAUUCAGGCAACGUUUUUCAAAUCAUCUGUUGUUCAGUUUCAGUAAAGAGUGAUUGUUUGAGUUGCUAUUACUUUCCUCUAUCAGCUUAUAGUCUGGCCAUCUCCAGUGACCUCUGGCAUCAGCGGGGCAUUUUUGCCCAGAGAACUGAAGCUCACCGGAUAUUUUAUCUUUUCUAGACCAUUAUCUGCAAAUCCUAGAGAUAGCAGUGUAGAAAUAUCCCAGAAAAUCAGCACUUUUUAAAACUAACCAUGCCACAUUCAGAGUCACUGAAAGCACCUUUCUGACCUGUUUUGAUGCUCAGUUUGAACUUCAGCGAAUGAUCUUGACCGUAUCUACAUGCCAAAAUGUAUUGAGUAACUGACAUGUAAUUGGUUUAUUUAAGAUUUUAAUAUAACUUAGUGUCAAGAAUCAGCUUAAAGUUCAGAAGAAUACCCUUGAAUUAAAGUAAGAUGCUUGCUAACACUAAUCAGCUGCUCUGGCUCAUACAGGAAAAGGAAAAUUAAAAAAACCCCAAAAAACCAAACUACAAGCAGAGUGGGAGGGGCCUUAACAAAAGAAAUGAUGUUGCACAGUUUGUCCAUUAGAGAGCACUAACAAGUUAAUUUUUCAACAUCUGUUUCAGAAUGGUUCUUGUCAUAAAAGCAAAUAAGAGGCCAUAUUAAGACUCAGGGUGCGUUUGCCUGUCAGUGAUGUGCAAGCGCACAUUAUUGAUAAGGGUGUAAUGUGCUUGUGUUUAUGUCACAAUUCUUCAUAUUUUAAGUGGCCGAGAGUGGUUUAACAAGCACUUCAGAUACAGAUACACAAGUUAAAACAAAGUAACUUUUAUCAUGACAUUAAAACUUUUAGAAACUUGCAGAUUUUAUAUUUGAUUGGUAACCCGUGGAGUGAGGCCAGUGCAGGGGAGAGCUGCUUUCUCUUCUUGGUAUGACUGAGGAGUCUCUCUGCUUCACUUUAAACCACCUGCAGACAAGAUAAAGACUGACUCAAAGAAAACAAGACAUGAGCUAAAAAAAACUCCAUGAGAACUGGCUUUAUCAGGAGGGGUUUUUUUUAGAACUGAUAAUCAGCACUUUGCUUUAUGACAUACAAGUCAAAGGAAAAAGAUAGAAGAUGAUGAUGAUGAUAAUGAGAUGAGAAGGGAUAAACUGGUUCCAACUGUGGUAAUUUUCCAGAACUGUAAAACCUGUCUGUGAGUUACACUUUUGUUGUUUCGUGAUCCUUUUUUGACUUCCCUGCAUAAAUACAGUCCUGUGCAACUUUUUAACUGCACAGCAGUUUUAAUCUGAGUCAGUGGUGAAGUAUUCCUGUGUAAAAAAA